AGCUCAAGUGGCAGUUUCGGGGGUGCAUUGUAGUUGCAUUGCAUGUGUGGCCAAGCUGUGCAAUGCCCCUCCAGUGCAGCCCUGAGGCCGUCCUCUACCAGC
ensembl:miRNA aca-mir-33-2 aca-mir-33-2